AGGAUUAACGCUGGCGGCGUGCAUGAAACAUGCAAGUCGAGCGCGGUGUGAUGCGGGGUAACCCAAUUCACAUCUAGCGGCGAACGGGUGAGUAACACGUGAGCAACCUACCUUUGAGUUGGGGAUAGCCCUGGGAAACCAGGAUUAAUACCCGAUGUGGUCACAACAGGACAUCCUGAUGUGAGUAAAGGCGCAAGCCGCUCAAUGACGGGCUCGCGGCCUAUUAGCUUGUUGGUGGGGUAACGGCCUACCAAGGCGAUGAUGGGUAGCUGGUCUGAGAGGACGAUCAGCCACACUGGGACUGAGACACGGCCCAGACUCCUACGGGAGGCAGCAGUGGGGAAUAUUGGACAAUGGCGCAAGCCUGAUCCAGCAAUGCCGCGUGGGUGAAGAAGGUCUUCGGAUUGUAAAGCCCUUUCGACGGGGACGAUGAUGACGGUACCCGUAGAGAAGCCCGGCUAACUCGUGCCAGCAGCCG
rnacentral:rRNA from 1 species